UACGUAGGGGGCAAGCGUUGUCCGGAAUUAUUGGGCGUAAAGAGCGUGUAGGCGGCUAGGUAGGUCCGUUGUGAAAACUCGAGGCUCAACCUCGAGACGCCGGUGGAAACCAUCUAGCUAGAGUCCGGAAGAGGAGAGUGGAAUUCCUGGUGUAGCGGUGAAAUGCGCAGAUAUCAGGAAGAACACCCGUGGCGAAGGCGGCUCUCUGGUACGUGACUGACGCUGAGACGCGAAAGCGUGGGGAGCGAACAGG
rnacentral:rRNA from 1 species